rnacentral:rRNA from 1 species
GCUUAACACAUGCAAGUCGAGCGGAAAGGCCCUUUCGGGGGUACUCGAGCGGCGAACGGGUGAGUAACACGUGAGUAAUCUGCCCUUGGCUUCGGGAUAGCCACCGGAAACGGUGAUUAAUACCGGAUACGACACAUCACUGCAUGGUGCGUGUGUGGAAAGUUUUUUCGGCCAGGGAUGUGCUCGCGGCCUAUCAGCUUGUUGGUGGGGUAAUGGCCUACCAAGGCUUCGACGGGUAGCCGGCCUGAGAGGGUGACCGGCCACACUGGGACUGAGACACGGCCCAGACUCCUACGGGAGGCAGCAGUGGGGAAUAUUGGACAAUGGGCGGAAGCCUGAUCCAGCAACGCCGCGUGAGGGAUGACGGCCUUCGGGUUGUAAACCUCUUUCAGCACAGACGAAGCGCAAGUGACGGUAUGUGCAGAAGAAGGACCGGCCAACUACGUGCCAGCAGCCGCGGUAAUACGUAGGGUCCGAGCGUUGUCCGGAAUUAUUGGGCGUAAAGGGCUCGUAGGCGGUUUGUCGCGUCGGGAGUGAAAACACCGGGCUUAACUCGGUGCUUGCUUUCGAUACGGGCAGACUAGAGGUAUUCAGGGGAGAACGGAAUUCCUGGUGUAGCGGUGAAAUGCGCAGAUAUCAGGGGGAACACCGGUGGCGAAGGCGGUUCUCUGGGAAUAUCCUGACGCUGAGGAGCGUAAGUGUGGGGAGCGAAC